GCUCUCACUGCUCCCGUCACUCUCUCCCCGCCCCGCUCCCGCCCCUCGCCACCCGGCCCCUCGCUCCCCGCCCGCUUCCUCCUUCCGGUCUGGGGGCCGAGCCCCGCCCGCGCCCCUGUCCUCCCGCCGUGCCGGGCGGCGUGACAAAGGAGCUGUGGGGAUGGAGACCCGCUCGGGAAGAUCCUGGCAUAACUGUGUUUCGCUGGGGUGUUUCUAGCGGAUUUCUAAACAGCAUCUCUGGCUUACGGAUGAUGAAAACGGAAAAUGCCGCUGUCCUUAGGAAAGAAGAAAGAGGAAUUUUGAGGAUUUGGGAGUAUGUAUCCACUUGGGUAUUUGGUAUUUACAAGGUGUCCAAGUAUGCCUCUUGUGCUUUCCCUUCCCACUGAAUGUUGAGAGAAAGAAAUAAAUGCCUUUGGAACUUC